UCGGCCUCCAUCCCCUUCCCUCACCGCCGCCAUCCCCUUGCCCCGCCUCCCCCUGUUCCUUCGACGAUGCCCCCUCCCUUGCCACUUUCUCCAUACGUCGGGGCUGCACACUGCGUCUUCGCCAUCCUCCUCGCGUCGGGGACGCACAUGGCGUCCUUGCCAUCCUCCUCGCGUCGGGAAAGGUGCCGCCGCCGCCGUUCCUCCGCGCGACUUGAGAUGCCGAGGCCGCCGUUCUUCCUCCGCACAGCCAGGGACGAUGCAAGUACCGACUUCCCCGUCCUCAGCUGCAUCAGUUCAGUAGUACGCCCCCUGCCCUUGCUCAUCCUUGUUUGUUCCUCGCCGACGGUGCCAACCGGCACAUAGCAGCCGACUGGUCUCAGCCCGAGGCACCGACCGACGCAGCCCGCAGCGGCCAACCAGCGCCUCAGCCCCAGAGGAAAUGAGCAACUUCUCUCAACCUCUCCAAAAUCGCGAGUCCCUACCAGUGUUUGAUUUGCGAGUUGUGCUGCUGAUUUGUCUCGGGUGCUCAUAUGUCUUGAUAAAAUUGCCAUUUUUCAUGGACAUUAUUUGCAAUUGAUGUGAGUCUUGCUUUUUUUAUAGAAGAGAUUUGCAGGUGUAGUGAUAUAAGUACUACUACAUGAGGGGAAAACACCAUGCAAGACAAUGCAGUGAAAUAAAUGCAGGAUUCUUCUACUCAAACACUGAACAAGGAGAAAAUUAAAGAUGGUUUCUUCCGAGAGACGUCAUGUUGAUGAACAUGUCAAUAAGAUCAUUGAACUGAAAAAUAAGAUCACGAAGGUAAAUUGAGGAUGAAUGGCUCAGAUGUUGAUUGCAAGGUUAACAAUGGGGCUACUACAAGAUAAUUGGAAUGCCAUUUCAGGAUCAAAAAAAUUAGAAUGUCAUUUUUAGGAUCAAUGUUUCAAACAUUAUAGUUGAUUGCAAGGUCAAGAAUUGGGCUACUGAUAGAUUGUUUCACCUCUUGUAAUUUUUGGAUCAUGUUCUUUGUUUGUUCUUUGUAAUAAAA